AUUGAACGCUGGCGGAAUGCUUUACACAUGCAAGUCGAACGGCAGCACGGGGGCAGCCCUGGUGGCGAGUGGCGAACGGGUGAGUAAUACAUCGGAACGUGCCCGGUCGUGGGGGAUAACGUAUCGAAAGUUACGCUAAUACCGCAUACGAUCUGAGGAUGAAAGCGGGGGACCUUCGGGCCUCGCGCGAUCGGAGCGGCCGAUGUCAGAUUAGGUAGUUGGUGGGGUAAAGGCCUACCAAGCCGACUAUCUGUAGCUGGUCUGAGAGGACGACCAGCCACACUGGGACUGAGACACGGCCCAGACUCCUACGGGAGGCAGCAGUGGGGAAUUUUGGACAAUGGGCGCAAGCCUGAUCCAGCCAUUCCGCGUGCAGGACGAAGGCCUUCGGGUUGUAAACUGCUUUUGUACGGAACGAAAAGGCUCUGGCUAAUACCUGGGGCUCAUGACGGUACCGUAAGAAUAAGCACCGGCUAACUACGUG
rnacentral:rRNA from 1 species